UUGAUUGGUUCUGUUGACUCUUAUCGUUGUGAAAAAUCGAUUCGUUGUGUACCUUUUUUGUAUAGAGAAUUAUUUUGUGGUAGAAUAUAAUGUUGUAAUAUUUGUGGUCUUUACUUUACUAAUUUUCCGCUCUUUGGUUCGUUGAGCGAUUCAUAUUCCGCAUAUAUUCCGUACUUGCUUCGCUUGGUACUUUUAUAAUUUUCGCAGUUACAAUAAAAAAUUUAAUUCUUAACAGAUUAAAGAUUUAACCUCUUGCUUUAUAGUGUACAAUAAUUUUUUUUUUUUUUUUUUUUUUUUUUUUAUAGGU